GGACGAACGCUGGCGGCGUGCUUAACACAUGCAAGUCGAGCGGUAAGGCCCUUUGGGGUACACGAGCGGCGAACGGGUGAGUAACACGUGAGUAAUCUGCCUUUGGCUUGGGAAUAACUUCGGGAAAUCGGGGCUAAUGCCUGAUGUUUACUGUCUGCUGCAUGGUGGGUGGUGGAAAGAUUUUUUGGCCAGGGAUGAGCUCGCGGUCUAUCAGCUUGUUGGUGGGGUAAUGGCUACCAAGGCUUUGACGGGUAGCCGGCCUGAGAGGGUGUUCCGGCCACACUGGGACUGAGACACGGCCCAGACUCCUACGGGAGGCAGCAGGUGGGGAAUAUUGCGC
rnacentral:rRNA from 1 species